rnacentral:rRNA from 1 species
UCCCAGUUCGGAUUGUAGUCUGCAACCCGACUACAUGAAGCUGGAAUCGCUAGUAAUCGCGGAUCAGAAUGCCGCGGUGAAUACGUUCCCGGGUCUUGUACACACCGCCCGUCACACCAUGGGAGUCGGAAAUGCCCGAAGUCUGUGACCCAACCUACGGGGAGGGAGCAGCCGAAGGCAGGUCGGAUGACUGGGGUGAAGUCGUAACAAGGUAAC